rnacentral:rRNA from 1 species
CAGUCGCCACGGGAAUACGUAGGUGGCAAGCGUUGUCCGGAAUUAUUGGGCGUAAAGCGCGCGCAGGUGGUUUAAUAAGUCUGAUGUGAAAGCCCACGGCUCAACCGUGGAGGGUCAUUGGAAACUGUUAAACUUGAGUGCAGGAGAGAAAAGUGGAAUUCCUAGUGUAGCGGUGAAAUGCGUAGAGAUUAGGAGGAACACCAGUGGCGAAGGCGGCUUUUUGGCCUGUAACCGACACCGAGGCGCGAAAGCGUGGGGAGCAAACAGGAUUAGAUACCCCGGUAGUCCCUGUCUCUUAUAC